rnacentral:rRNA from 1 species
GAUGAACGCUGGCGGCGUGCCUAAUACAUGCAAGUCGAGCGAACAGACGAGGAGCUUGCUCCUUUGACGUUAGCGGCGGACGGGUGAGUAACACGUAGGUAACCUACCUAUAAGACUGGGAUAACUUCGGGAAACCGGAGCUAAUACCGGAUAAUAUUUCGAACCGCAUGGUUCGAUAGUGAAAGAUGGCUUUGCUAUCACUUAUAGAUGGACCUGCGCCGUAUUAGCUAGUUGGUAAGGUAACGGCUUACCAAGGCAACGAUACGUAGCCGACCUGAGAGGGGGAACGGCCAAACUGGAACUGAGACAAGGUCCAGACUCCUAAGGGAGGCAGCAGUAGGGAAUCUUCCGCAAUGGGCGGAAGCCUGAAGGAGCAAAGCCGCGUGAGUGAUGAAGGUCUUCGGAUCGUAAAAAUCUGUUAUUAGGGAAGAACAAACGUGUAAGUAACUGUGCACGUCUUGACGGUACCUAAUCAGAAAGCCACGGCUAACUACGUG